UACGUAGGGUGCGAGCGUUGUCCGGAAUUAUUGGGCGUAAAGAGCUCGUAGGCGGUGUGUCACGUCGGCCGUGAAAACCCGCAGCUUAACUGUGGGCGUGCGGUCGAUACGGGCAUCACUGGAGUUCGGCAGGGGAGACUGGAAUUCCUGGUGUAGCGGUGAAAUGCGCAGAUAUCAGGAGGAACACCGGUGGCGAAGGCGGGUCUCUGGGCCGAUACUGACGCUGAGGAGCGAAAGCGUGGGGAGCGAACAGG
rnacentral:rRNA from 1 species